AACGAACGCUGGCGGCAUGCCUAAUACAUGCAAGUCGAACGAGAAAGCACUUCGGUGUGAGUAAAGUGGCGCACGGGUGCGUAACACGUAGGUAAUCUGCCUUGAAGUUGGGGACAACAGUUGGAAACGACUGCUAAUACCGAAUAAUCAGAUCAAACUUGAAAGUAGAUCUGCAAAGGGGGCUUCGGCUCUCGCUUUUAGAGGAGCCUGCGGAACAUUAGCUUGAUGGUGGGGUAAUGGCCUACCAUGGCUAUGAUGUUUAGCUGGUCUGAGAGGAUGAUCAGCCACACUGGAACUGAGACACGGUCCAG
rnacentral:rRNA from 1 species